AGCAUUCAUCAGCUCAAACAGUAUCUGUAGAAAGAGAAAUUGAGCUUCAGGUCAUCAGCUCAUUUCAACUCUGAAUCACCCUGUGUGGAACUGAGGUCUAGAGUGUCAAACCGAGGGGUGACGUACCUUCAUCCUUUAAGGGUCAUAGAGCACAAAUGCAGGUCCCGAGCUUUCCGGAUUCUACAACUCACCUCCAAGGUUCGACCGGUGGUGUUAGUCUUGGGAAGACAGGCUCUGGUCCCGCCAAACGUGUGAAAUCUGAGUGCCUUGCAUUACAUUCCAAGCAAAUGUGGAGACAAGAGUGUACUGCUUGCUGCAUGAACAACAACAGGCCUAGUGAAGGAAGAGCAGAGGUUUGAGGGAAUGGACAUACAUGGACCCAGUGUGGAGAGGAAUGCCUCUGGCAAAGCAGAGCGAUGCAGGUCUGAAGUGGAGAGCGGGAAUCUGGGACAGUAAGAACAACAACACAAGGAAUUUGCAGUGAAAGGUUUCAGGUAAAGCAGGAUUCUAUGAGUUGGUUGACCUGGCCCUUUUAGAAAAAGUGGACUCCAGAACAAACUGGCACCUAGUAUUGAAUUUGCAAUAAAUUCAAUACAAUACAAAGAAACAGCAAUGUAGUGAAACAAACAAUCAGCUGGAGGAAUUCAGCAUUUGUGGUGAGGGUGAGAAAUGCAGAGGAACUACUGACAUUUUGGGUCACAACACUAAUUCCAAGGAGAUGUCUGGGUUUCCAUUGCAAUAAAUCCCAGUUUUCUUUCUGACUGCAAUGCUGGAUCAGCAUUCUUUGAAAAGCAAUGGGUCAUAGGGGUUGAUGCUUCACAAUGCUGUGUAUCCAAAAGCUGUUGUAUCUGCAUGUAGCAAACAAACAUUAAAAUGCAAAUAACCUAUUAGGUCUUCCUAAAAUCUCAAAUAAAUAUAAUUUUUAAAAAGCCUGCAAUUGUUGCACAAUAAAUAAAAGAAAAUAAAUACUGGAAAUGGCAGGUCAAGCAUUGACUGUCUAGAGACACUGAUUGGUGUUUGCCUGAAUUGAGAAAGAGAAAAACAAGUUACUUUUCAAUUCCAGAGGAGGGUCGUUGUAACAUGGCUAAAACAAAGGGAAUAUGCUGAUAGGGCAGGGCCAGGGUUGCCAUGGGGUUAAGCUGUUACUGAAUUUAUUUGGUUGAUAAUUUAAUAAGGGUAAAAAGAAAGGGAUAACAUCAUCAAUGGGAUGUAACAGUUGUAAAGUGCAG